AUGUGCUACAUAUGUGAAACUUCCUCCUUAACCAUUCUGAUUCUCCGCUCCAAGAAACUGUUUUUAUGAAGUGGCACACAACCAAUAAAAUGGUUUGUGCAAUAAGUUACACUUCAAAAUUCCUCCUUAUCCAUUCUGAUUCUCCGCUCCAAGAAACUGUUUUUAUGAAGUGGCACACAACCAAUAAAAAGUGAAUACAAAAUUAUUGUUCAAGUAUCUUCAGAAAAUGUCCCAGCAAAACUCUAAACU